AAUCAACCAAUCAGAAGACAUUAAUUUGCCAUGUCACAACAUCUUUGUCGAGUUAUUGGACCUUCCGUGUUGUUUCCAAAAAUUAAAUCAUGGCCUGUGUAAAGCCCAGCUGCCAAAAACCUAUCUCCUAAGCAUCUAUCAAUACGACUCUUCCACUUCGUCUUCUACAUCUCCAUUUACUGUAAAAGGCGUAACAGACCCCCCUGAUCAAUCAGUGAUACUCUUCAAUCCCCCUUUUAUGGUUUCGUUCCACCUCCCCUUCAUUCUCCACCUAUAUAAAUCACUACAUCUAAACCUAAAUUCAGACAAAAUCGGAAACUUCCACAGAAAGAGAUCACGCUAUAACCAUGAACUCUGCUAAAUCAAACGGAAAGUGUGUUCAUGAAGGAGAAGAUAAAUUGAGUUAUAUUUAGUUUUGUACAACAUCAUCUUUUACAGUGCCUUGAACAAGACCUGAACCAAGAUCGCUUGAUCUCAUGGAGCCAACAUAACCAAACUGAUAAAGAAGGAAGAAGGCUGAUCAUACAGGCAUGCGCAAUUGCCUCCGGCGCCGUCGUCUUCUCUGAGUCCUCCUUAUCGACUUGGGAGGACAAGGAUUCAUCUUUAGGUAUGCGUCGGUGGCGUAAGGCAUCAGCUUAUUUUCUCUCUUAAAUGCUUCAAAGAUCUCCUUGGCUCUCAUAAAUUUGGUUCAUUUGAUCAUUUCCAUUGAUGGGUCUGCCUUCGCUCACAGAUUCCUGUUGUGUUGGAGUUUAUGCCUUUUGAAACUUCCUCUAAGCAUCUCUUCCACUGUAAGUAUUUUCUCAUCUUUUAAGAGAUUAGCAAUAAUCUUAAUGUUUGAUCUGAUUUUGUUUGACAUAUCUCAGUGAUGAUAUAACUCAUUCUGAUGUUAUAUAUGAACUAUUCUUGGUAAAUUGUGAUGAUAUAUGCAGGGGAUAUCAAGCCAAUGAAGUAGGCGAGGAGGGUGAGAGCGGAUUGCGGCAACACAGAUCGCGUUUGUUUUCUCCUUUCAAUUUGCUCUUCCUUCUCUAUUUUGUUUGUUCUCCCUUCCUUCUUUCGGUUUGGUCAAUUAUGUUGUUGUUUCUUUUGAGAUUUUCGAGUUUAUCACUAUCUUCGAAAGUGGUUGUGUUGCUAACCAUGGCGUACGUCUUUCUUCGAGUGUACAGCGAAGGCAGCAGUGGUAGGGUUUACCAGUGUGGAAUUCCAGAAAGGCCUCUCGAUUGUUAACCUUUAUAUAGAGGAUAAAGUUGCUCAUGAUUUCUGAAACAACACACACUUCUUCUUCUUAAUCCUCAAAGAUGAAUCUACCAAGUCUCCUCUCCAGGUUAAUGGACUCUAAACAGAGCACUUGAAAGUUGAUUUUUUUUGGUGUGUCAUGUGUGCAACAGCAGUUUUUAUCGUUUCACACUAGGCUUAUUAUCCUUUAGUAAAGAGCUAACUGAUAUGAAUUAGCUUACUAUAAGAAAUGUUAAUGGAAUUAACUUAACAGCAAAUUGCAUUUAAAAAACGUAGACCUUCAAACAUAUAUAUGGAUUGAACAUAGAUUCUGUAGAUAUAAAGGUUGUAGAGUUUCUUUUAAAUGCAUUUAUCAUUCAUCAUUUUAAUGUUUCUACUUAUCUUAUGGAUUAUUUGAUUGCCAAGUUCAGUAAGUAAAUUUUGUAUGACUUUCUUAAUGUUACAAACCCAUUAUCUCUAUCGAACUAACAUAAUUUUUUUUUAUCUUGAUUACCACUGCUCAGAUAUGUGAUGUUUGAUCGAUCACCAAUCACCAAUCACCAUCCUAUUCUCCAGGUGGGCGUGCUUGAUGGCCAUUAGUGAAGCUCUGUCAAGAACGACUAUAGUGGAAAAUGAAUUUUUGAAUGAGUACGAAGGUGGUGGAAAAUAUAGCAUCGGUGAUCAUGGUUAUUGCUACAGCUGUGGUGGUGGUUGAUACGCGAAAUCAUAUAUAACUAUAUAUACUUCAAAUGUAUUUAUUUUUAGUUUUAUCUAUGUUCUAAGUUUAGUUAUCUAAUUAUUUAAUUUUAUUGUGUAUAUCAUGCUUAUCUGGCAUGUUUAAUGGCUUGAAACACAGUUUUGUUUAUUUGUUAUAUUUAAUUUUUCUCAUUGAUCAUAUAUAAAAAAAUACAUAAUUUCUCAAAAAAUGAUAAAGUCUGGUCAAAAAUUAACUUAAAAGUAUUUUUUUGUGUAACAUAGGAGAUAAUUUUUUUUUUUUUGUAAUGUGACAGAGAAGAUAAUUGAUAUUUUGUGUGUGUAUAAAGCUUAGAUUAACUUAAAGUAUUUUUUGACUAAAAUUUGAGAUAUUUUACAUUUACUAUAGCGUUUAAUUUUGGGUCUGUAAGACACCUACAUUUAGCAAAUUAACACGACUAAUUUUUUUAUUUUUCCGUGAUACCAAACAUAACGUUUUAUGAAUGAAAUUAGAAGUUGCACAUAUAUAACAAAGUAAGAUUAAUUUAACAGUUUAGUAAGAAAACAAUUUUACAAAUUAAGGACGUUAGUUUAUAUAUACCACAUAUAAAAUAUGUAGAUGUUACAUCAUUUGUAAUAAAAAAAAUGAAAUCUAAAGUGUAAUAAGUGUUUUUACAAGCUGACCAAACAUCUAUACAUAUUUGAAUUCCAUCAAAAUUAAGCAUGAACAACGUAAAUAUUCCGCACAAGAAACGGAUGCCCAUUUAAUCCAAUAGGAAACAUAAAAAAUAUAUCCACAAGUGGAAGUGGUUUACUAAUGGUUCAUUAAUAAUUUUACACCAAAAGUCCCAUUUCGAAACCAAAAAAAAAAUAUGUAAAUUAGUAGAAAUUUUUUUUAUAUGAGAUCUUCAACGUGGUUCAAGAAGUAUUAGUAGACGUGAAUCUAUAGGACAGUUCAAAAUGAUAUAAUCAGACAUGACUUUUCAUAAAUUAGGUAGCAUUGUCGGAUAUAAAAUCAUCUAUAUAUAUCCACAGAUAUAAAAAAUAUCUCUAUUUUACACUCUCUGUUUUUAAUAGACGACUCUUUGAAGUUUUUUUUUUUAAAUUACAAGACGUUUUAAAUUUACAAUAUAAAUUUUUAUUCUUUUAUACUAUAUAACAUUUUAUAUUUUACAGAUUAUUUUUCUGUUGAUUGAAUUAUGUUUAAAUAACAUUUUUGUUUAGAAAAUAUAUAACAUUAAAUAUUUUUAAUAUGUGUGCAAAAUUUCAAUGCUUUAAAUGAAAAAAAUAGUAAUUUUGAUUUGGUAUUAGAAAUCCAGCGGCUUAUUAUCUACAACUUAUUUAACAUGUUAUAUUAUUAAAAGUUUUGGACAUCGGUAAGUUAGUAAGUUUUAAAGUACAUCUGUGCUCACAAAGAAAUAUAUAAUAACUUCUUACCAAAAAAAAAAAGAAAUAUAUAA